rnacentral:rRNA from 1 species
GUGCCAGCAGCCGCGGUAAGACGUAGGGGGCCAGCGUUGCUCGGAAUUACUGGGCGUAAAGGGUCCGUAGGCGGUGCGGCAAGUCGGGGGUGAAAUCUCUGGGCUCAACUCAGAGGCUGCCUCCGAAACUGCCGUGCUCGAGUGCGGGAGAGGCGAGCGGAAUUGCAGGUGUAGCGGUGAAAUGCGUAGAUAUCUGCAGGAACACCCGUGGCGAAGGCGGCUCGCUGGACCGUGACUGACGCUGAGGGACGAAAGCUAGGGGAGCAAACAGGAUUAGAUACCCUGGUAGUCCUAGCCCUAAACGAUCAGGACUUGGGGUGGCCGGCGUCCGCGGGUCGUCCCGGAGCUAACGCGAUAAGUCCUGCGCCUGGGGAGUACGGUCGCAAGACUGAA